UCGAGGAUCUUCGGCAAUGGGCGCAAGCCUGACCGAGCGACGCCGCGUGUGCGAUGAAGGCCUUCGGGUUGUAAAGCACUGUCGAGGGGGAGGAAAGCCCGAAAGGGUUUGACCUAUCCCUGGAGGAAGCACGGGCUAAGUUCGUGCCAGCAGCCGCGGUAAGACGAACCGUGCGAACGUUGUUCGGAUUCACUGGGCUUAAAGGGCGCGUAGGCGGGCACUCAAGUCAGGGGUGAAAUCUUUCGGCUCAACCGGAAAAGUGCCUCUGAUACUGGGUGUCUCGAGGGAGGUAGGGGCGUGUGGAACUUCCGGUGGAGCGGUGAAAUGCGUAGAUAUCGGAAGGAACGCCGGUGGCGAAAGCGACGCGCUGGACCUCUUCUGACGCUGAGGCGCGAAAGCCAGGGGAGCAAACGGGAUUAGAUACCCCUGUAGUCC
rnacentral:rRNA from 1 species